rnacentral:rRNA from 1 species
UACAGAGGGGGCAAGCGUUGUUCGGAAUUACUGGGCGUAAAGGGCGCGUAGGCGGCCUGCUAAGUCGAACGUGAAAUCCCCGGGCUCAACCCGGGAACUGCGUCCGAUACUGGUUGGCUUGAAUCCGGGAGAGGGAUGCGGAAUUCCAGGUGUAGCGGUGAGAUGCGUAGAUAUCGGGAGGAACACCAGUGGCGAAGGCGACUUCCUGGCCUGUUCUUGACGCUGAGGCGCGAAAGCUAGGGGAGCAAACGGG